GCCGAAGUGGCGGAAUUGGUAGACGCGCCAUCUUGAGGGGGUGGUGCCUUCGGGUGUGCGGGUUCAAGUCCCGCCUUCGGCA
rnacentral:tRNA from 2 species